rnacentral:ncRNA from 1 species
AUUUAUAAAAGUUUGAUUCUUGCUUUCAAAUUAUCUUUUUAAAUUAAUUAUAUGAAUAUUAUUAAAAUAUUUUUUUUCAGUAAUUUGUUUUAUAAAAUAUUUUAGAAUUUUUUAGAAAUUUAAUAAUAAUAGAUAAAUUUUGUGCCAGCAUUCGCGGUUAUACAAUUUAUUAAAGUUAAUUUUUUUUAGAAUAAUUUAUUAAUAAUAAUUUUGAAUAAAAUAUUAUUUUAUUUAGGUGGAAUUUAUAUAUUUUUUUUAUUCUUAUUUUUUUAUAAAAAGUCUUUAAAUAAACUAGGAUUAGAUACCCUAUUAUAUAAGAUUAAAUAUUUAUUUCUAGAAUAUUAAUAGUUAAGUUCUAUAAAACUCAAAGAAUUUGGCGGUGAUUUAUUUUUCUAGAGGAAUCUGUAUUUUAAUUGAUAAACCACAAUAAUUUUUACCUUAAAUUAAUUUGUAUAUCGCUAUAAUUUGGAAUGUUUUAAAAGAAAAAUUUUCUUUUUUUUAAAAAAUUUAUAUUAGGUCAAGGUGCAGUUUUGUUAAGGUUAAUAUGGAUUACUUUAUUUUUAAUUUUUCUUGGAUAUAAUUUUUAUAGUUUUAUUAAAAUAGGAUUUAGAAGUAAUUUAAAUAAAUUUAUUUUUUUGAAUUUUACCCUAAAUUAUGUACAUAUCGCCCGUCACUCCUAUUAAUAUAGGAUAAGUCGUAACAAAGUAGUUGUACCGGAAGGUGUAUCUAGUUUGAU